rnacentral:rRNA from 1 species
UACGUAGGGGGCAAGCGUUGUCCGGAAUCAUUGGGCGUAAAGCGCACGUAGGCGGCUUCUUAAGUCGGUGGUGAAAUCCUGGAGCUCAACUCCAGAACUGCCUUCGAUACUGGGAGCUCGAGUCCGGGAGAGGUGAGUGGAACUGCGAGUGUAGAGGUGAAAUUCGUAGAUAUUCGCAAGAACACCAGUGGCGAAGGCGGCUCACUGGCCCGGUACUGACGCUGGAGGUGCGAAAGCGUGGGGAGCAAACAGGG